UUAAGAGUCUUGGUAUUCAUGACUUGGUUAAUUUUGAUUUUAUGGACCCACCUCCUUCAGAGGCCUUGUUGAAGGCCCUGGAACAACUUUUUGCUCUUAGUGCACUCAACAGUCGUGGAGAGUUGACCAAGACUGGAAGACGAAUGGCAGAGUUUCCACUAGAUCCUAUGCUGUCAAAGAUGAUAGUAGCUUCAGAGAAAUAUAAGUGUUCUGAUGAGGUCAUGUCCAUUGCGUCAAUGCUGUCGAUCGGCAAUUCUAUAUUCUACCGUCCGAAGGACAAACAGGUUCAUGCAGAUAAUGCAAGGUUGAACUUCCACACUGGGAACAUUGGGGACCACAUAGCAUUACUCAAUGUCUAUAACUCAUGGAGAGAAACAGACUUCUCGACUCAAUGGUGUUAUGAAAAUUAUAUCCAGGUCCGCAGCAUGAAGAGAGCAAGAGACAUUCGAGAUCAACUGGAGGGACUUAUGGAGAGAGUUGAGAUUGAGGUCUGUUCAAAUGCCAGUGACUUGGAUGCUAUUAAAAAGGCUAUAACAUCCGGUUUCUUCCACCAUUCUGCACGGUUGCAGAAGAAUGGUUCAUAUAGAACUGUCAAGAACCGUCAGACGGUCUUUAUCCACCCUAGUUCAGGAUUA
rnacentral:rRNA from 1 species